rnacentral:ncRNA from 1 species
CCCCCAGUGGGUAGUGAAAUAGAACGUGAAACCGUGCUGAGCUCCCAAGCAGUGGGAGGGGAAAGUGAUCUCUGACCGCGUGCCUGUUGAAGAAUGAGCCGGCGACUCAUAGGCAGUGGCUUGGUUAAGGGAACGGAACCACACGGAGCCGUAGCGAAAGCGAGUCUUAAUAGGGCGAUUGUCACUGCUUAUGGACCCGAACCUGGGUGAUCUAUCCAUGACCAGGAUGAAGCUUGGAUGAAACUAAGCAGAGGUCCGAACCGACUGAUGUUGAAGAAUCAGCGGAUGAGUUG